UCCUCCCAUAUGUCGGACGCCUUCCUCAUGUUUGUUAACAAAAUUGAAUCCGCCCAACCACUCCUCCUAUCUCCUCCCAGUAUGUCGGACGCCUUCCUCAUUUGGUUUCCCGUGCCUUUGUUUAAAGUAGCUUCUAAACUGAGGAACUUGACACCGUCUUCUCCAUCCUUUUCAGUCUCUCAAAUCCUAAUCUCUCUCUCUCUCUCUCUCACCGUUUAUCAUCGUCACCACCACUCCUCCUAUCUACUCUCUCUAACAUCCCGAUCAUUAUUCUCCAUCUCCACAACACCGCAUUGACACCGCCAUUGGGGUCUCUCUCCCUCUUACUGCCACCUUAAAUCACUGGUUAGUGGUCUCCCAUGUCAUCGACGUAAGGAAAUCGAAACUUUCUAUAUUUUUUCUCCGGUACAUGGUCCAUUUUUAAAGUAGCGCUACAAGUUAUUAAACAGGUUCGUAUAAUCGUAUUAGCGGGAUGAAAUGCUGAGAUAAGAUAUUGAAAUCACCACCAUUGUCUCCGUUUUGUCCUCCAGGGUUUUUAUGGAAAUCACAAUCAUCUUCUUGGUUUUGUCAUCUAGGUAAUGGACUCCCCCCUUCUCUAUUGUUUCAUUCAAAAGUUGUAACAACAAUAAAUGGUGAAGCGAAGAAACAGAAGAAGUGAUUAAAGGAUUGGCGGGAACAAGUUGGAGUUUUAUUGGGGCCUGGGGGUUUAAAGUAUAAAGAUGAGGAAGGUGUUUCUUAUCCAAUUAGAAGUAAAUAAUAUAUUUUAAAGUUUUGAUUGUGGGUUUGCUUCCAUGAGUUCGGACUCUUCAUUCUCCAUCACUCUAUCGAGUCCCUCCAUCUCCCAUUGCUUCAAAAACCCUAGCCGUAUAUCACCAUCAAUUCCAUGUUCUGGACCUGAUUUCCUCAUGGUUGUGUAGGGUUUUGCUCUACAAAUAUGGAUAUACCCCAGUAGCCAAUGAGAAGAUACACGGGGAUUUGUUAAUUUAAUUAUAAUUUGCAAGAUGAUUUUGUGCAACGAUUUUAUCCUAAAGUCAUUUGCUUAUUAUAUACAAUAUUUUUUUUUUCAACUUUAACAUAUUUGUGGAGCUAUGAAUACAUUUCAACAACAGAGAAAAGAGAGAUGAAAUCCACAGUUCAACAUGAUUAUAGAUCCAUAAACCAUGGAUCUGGAUCUAGAUCCAGAAACCACCGGCAUCGAUUCACCACCAAGUAGUUUCUUUUCGAAUUUUGCAGGCAAGAAUCUCAAACCUCUCUCUUAACUAUUACUAUGCACAAAUCUAUUGUCUUGUAUGAUAUUUGGUUUCUAAGUACUUGAGAGAUCUGAUACAUAAUUUUGUGUUGUUAAGGGUUCAAUAUGACUAAAGGAGUUCAAAAGUCUUGAACUAUGAUUUUUUUCCCCACAAUCUAUCGGAUUCUAUAAUGAUUAUGUAGGUAUUCGUUCUAAAUUGUUCCUAAAAUGAUUCUUUAAGCCAUUAUUAGUAAAAAAUUCAGGUGUUAGUUUAGGUUUUUUUUUCCUGACUUCAUCUAUUUCAGAAAAAUAAUCACAAAUAGUCCGUUUUUUCCUUUAAUAAUAAAGAGUAUUUGUUACGCAUUCAUGUUUGAUACGGGAUAUAUUAUAUACUAUAUUGGGCAUCAAAAGUGUAUAGUGGACUAAUAGCUUUUGACUCAUUUCUUCAACAUUUAUGGCUAUUGUGCAGUAAUAAUCUUAGUUUUGAAGAUAAUGUUGAAGAAAAAUAGCAUGCAACAACAGCUUGGGUGAAUCAGGACACCUCCAUAUUUUUCGGAGGUAACAAGGUAAAGGGAGUUCAGUUUUAAGCUUUUUUACUCAAUUUGUAGGUAAUGGAGGUGGAGGGUAUAUGAUAGAGAAUGUUCAAGCUAAUAUAUAGUCAACUCAAGUAUUGGAAUAUAUGUACCCUGAUGCUUAUACAUGUCAAUUGAGAUCUGGUAUAUAUAUUAAUUUUCUUAUUGCA